ACCCUUGUGGAGGAGGACGCCGAAGGUGGGGCUAAUGACUGGGGUGAAGUCGUAACAAGGUAGCCGUACCGGAAGGUGCGGCUGGAUCACCUCCUAACAGGGAGACAACAAAAUGUUUAAUAUUAUUAUUUUGUCACCUUAGGUCGAUCGGUAUCUCACGUUCUUAAUUUAUUAAGAAUUUCAUUUCCUAAGUUUUUCUAGGUCACACCCAUUAUUUUCCUGGGCCAUUAGCUCAGGUGGUUAGAGCGCACCCCUGAUAAGGGUGAGGUCCCUGGUUCAAGUCCAGGAUGGCCCAUAUCUCUAUGUUGGGGGUAUAGCUCAGUUGGUAGAGCGCCUGCUUUGCAAGCAGGAUGUCAGCGGUUCGAGUCCGCUUACCUCCACUGAUCACCACCUCUUCCAUAAUCGAUAGAAAGGAAAUGUUUUGAGUUGUGAUCUAAUUCUGAACGAAUCUAGCUUCCUAAUGAAAUUAUUAAGAUGCUGGACUCAUUGAAUUAAUUUCAUUGUUUUCAGAGAACCUUGACAACUGCAUAGAUUAUUUUUUAAAGACAAUAAGCAUCUUUAAUGAUGCAGAUUUAUUAUUUGUGCGAAUGCAUUAAUAACAAUUCUAUUAAGCUGAUGCUUCAAUUUUGAAGUUAUUGGUCAAGCUACAAAGGGCUCACGGAGGAUACCUAGGCACACAGAGGCGAU
rnacentral:misc_RNA from 1 species